AUUGUACUUCCUUCGUUCUGAAUUACUUGUCGCAGGUAUGGAUAUAUCUAGAUGUAUUUUAAUUCUAAAUAUAUCCAUUUCUGCGACGAGUAAUUUGGAACGGAGGGAGUAGUGA
rfam:Triticum urartu cultivar G1812 contig143085, whole genome shotgun sequence.